CUGAAUUUAGUAAGCUGUUCCUCAAGAAGCAAACACAAUUGCUGAGUAUCAGGCAGUUGCAAAAACUACAUGGGCAACAAACCUUCUUGAACUACAUAUUCUCAUACCAAGGCCUCUGUGACAACCCAAUGUUUUAUAGCCGCAUGAAGCAUACUGUAGUAUUAUGUUGGCAAACAGGACGUUACCACUCACACUCAUAGCACUGUUCAACUUGACAAUACUCUUACCAGGGUGAGGACCCAAAUUGAUGGGGCGUAUCUU
rnacentral:lncRNA from 1 species